UUGGGAUUGUGGGUUGGAUACUGAGCUAAGUUUUGGGAUGACUUUUCGGAGAAUUGGUGCUGGUCUUGAAAAUCUUGGAAAUACUUGUUUUCUCAAUUCCGUGUUGCAGUGUCUGACAUAUACAGAGCCUUUAGCGGCAUACUUGCAGAGUGGCAAGCAUCGAAAUUCUUGUCUUUCUCCUUCCUAGCACGCAAGAAGAGUAUUUGAAAAAGAAGAGAUGAAAAUAUCCAUUUCUUGGGGCUUUCCAUUUAUGACCAUAAAGGGAUCUAUUCUUUUAUGAUGUUUCUAGAUUUUUAUGCUUUUGUUUUAUUAUUAGUAUUUUCUUUUGGCUCUGUGUGCCCCAUUUUUAUUGAAGUUAUUUUGAUGUUGUUGUCUCCAGUAAUUGGUGUCUCAUGUUAAUUAACUGUGCAUGUACGUAUGUUGUGUGUGCAUCACAAAUGACAGAUGAAUUGCAUAAUGUAGCUUUCGUGAUUGCUAAUGUGUAUCCCACAUAUUUUUUGCAAGCUAGACAGGUUUUAUAGGUGUAGUUCUGUAUUAUUCUGUUCAUCAAUUAAUU